CCAGGCCCAGAUGAGGGUCAGCAUGGGGACCACUACCGUGAAAAGGCAAGACAAAGAUGGUCCAGAUCAGCACAGAAACAGAACCGCCAAAGGCGGCACGGGAGCCCUGACCAGGGCCUGGCUCUCUCCUUGCCAGGACUGCCGCUGUCACUCAGGCCCUCCAGAGCCACUGGCUGCGAAGGUUGGACCUCCGGCUGGAAUCUCCUAAAGCCCCUGUCAAACAGGACAGAAUGUGGUAACAGAACAGAGGACAAUGAGCACACAGAUGAGUUCCAGCGACUUUAGCACGCUAAACACAUGGCCAAGUCGGCCUGAGAAGGUGGGGAAAGUGGGUGAAGCUAAUGCUUAAAUACAAAACUGCCUCCCAUUUGCUAAGCACUAACUAAGUGCUUUACUUAUAGUAUCUUACUUAAUCCUCACAAUGAUUAAAUGAGGUAGGCACCAC
ensembl:lncRNA CAMK2G-AS1 CAMK2G antisense RNA 1